GCAUCGGUAGCUCAGUUGGCAGAGCAGUGGGACGGUACCCCACGCUCCGGGGUUCGAGCCCCGGCCGACGCG